rnacentral:rRNA from 1 species
GACGAACGCUGGCGGCGUGCUUAACACAUGCAAGUCGAACGGAAGGGCCCUGCUUUUGUGGGGUGCUCGAGUGGCGAACGGGUGAGUAACACGUGAGUAACCUGCCCUUGACUUUGGGAUAACUUCAGGAAACUGGGGCUAAUACCGGAUAGGAGCUCCUGCUGCAUGGUGGGGGUUGGAAAGUUUCGGCGGUUGGGGAUGGACUCGCGGCUUAUCAGCUUGUUGGUGGGGUAGUGGCUUACCAAGGCUUUGACGGGUAGCCGGCCUGAGAGGGUGACCGGCCACAUUGCGACUGAGAUACGGCCCAGACUCCUACGGGAGGCAGCAGUGGGGAAUAUUGCACAAUGGGCGGAAGCCUGAUGCAGCAACGCCGCGUGCGGGAUGACGGCCUUCGGGUUGUAAACCGCUUUCGCCUGUGACGAAGCGUGAGUGACGGUAAUGGGUAAAGAAGCACCGGCUAACUACGUG